rnacentral:lncRNA from 1 species
UUUUUUUUUUUUUUUUUUUUUUUUGUCUUUUGUCUUUUUUGUUGUUGCUGUUGUUGCUAUUUCUUGGGCCGCUCCCGCGGCAUAUGGAGGUUCCCAGGCUAGGGGUUGAAUCAGAGCUGUAGCCUCCGGCCUACGCCAGAGCCACAGCAACGCGGGAUCCGAGUCGCGUCUGCAACCUACACCACAGCUCACGGCAACGCCGGAUCGUUAACCCACUGAGCAAGGGCAGGGACCGAACCUGCAACCUCAUGGUUCCUAGUCAGAUUCGUUAACCACUGCGCCACGACGGGAACUCCUGCAGUGGAUUCUUAACCCACUGAGCAAAGUUAGGGAGCAAACCCUCAUCCUCAUGGAUACUCAUCAGGUUCUUAACCACCUGAGGUUCUACAGGAACUCUGGUUGCUCUUAUUUCUGCAUUUCAUGGGUACAGAUGACCCUGUGUCAUUUUGGUUCUUUUUUAGUCCAUCUUCAAUCUGCAAGUUAGAACAUUGCAUUUCCUCCUCAAGACUUACAUAUUCUUUGUUUUGAGAUGCCGUUGUUCAUCCAGUCAUUUCCUGUUUCUUUUCUCUUGGUCCAAAAGCCAUUUUGUCUAUGUGAUCAGCUUAGGAAUUGAUCAUGGAGACAACAAUGCAAUGGCUAAAGAGAAGAGUCUUCUUAAUAGUGUUGUAAUAAUUUUGUAUGUGUAUGAGAGACAGCAAAAGAGAGUGUGUUACAUUCUGACUUUGCCCAGUGACCUUACUUUGACUGCAGAGGAAGACUUAGCUAAGAAUUUGUUGUGAAGUGUGAAAUGGUAGUAAUUAUCUUCUUUUGUUGACUUAAGGUUUUUAUGAUCUUUUAAAGAAAUGUCAAAAAAAGAAAAUAACUGCUAAUUGUUCAUUUUUGUGUAAUGUUGGAAAGUACAGUGGGCAAUGUUUAAAAAAAUGAAUAGAACAAGGAAAAAUUAUCCUCACUGUCAUUUAGCAGCCUUUAUUAACCACCUGCUCACUAGGGGAUGUCAUGGCAGAUGGGAACCCCAAGAGGGACAUGAUUCAUGGAUUCAUCUCCUUUGAUGUGUCCUGUGUGUAUGGUUUUCUAGGCUAUUGCUUGUUCAUAGGAAGUCUAAGAAAUUUGGGAUAUUAUGCCAGUUUAGAAAUGAGGCAAGUCAGAUCAGAGAUAUAGCUACCUUUUCAUGCUGUAAGUGUCUAGUUUGGGAUUUUACCCUGAUUGAUCUGUUUCCUAAACACAUGCUGCUUCCUUCCUGUUUCCUGGUGUCAUAGAGGCCUUACUUAUCCUUUUGAAGGAGAGCAGUUCCCAAGAACUUUGCAGCGAAAUGAUAAUCCUAGGAAGCUUAUAUGCCUUUAAAUAAUUAAUAUAGAAUAGAUGCAUUUAUAGCUAAAUAAAUUUUAAUCUUCCUGAAAAAUAUGUCUUUUGAAUUUAAGAUUGUGUGUUUUUCUUUACAUUUUAGGACUAAGACCACCACUACAAAUUACAAAAAAACAAACAAACAAAAAAAAGCAAACCAUAGCAACCUUAAACAAAUUAAAAAUCUGUCUAAUCAUCCUAGAGUUGGUGCUACAAAGAGUAUCUGGGCACCUUUUGUUGCUUCCUGAAGGUUCUCUAGCCUGAAAGAAGGGAAAUGCAUUUGGGGGUGGUGCUGGCUCUGGCUGCCAUGUAUUAGGCUCAUUGUGAGAAACCUACGUGGGUUUCAGGGGGUGACCAGCAGGCUGUAGAGAUCAUGGAAAUCAUGGAAAAUCAGAGUGCAAAUGGAAGCCUGUUGAGAGAUGUUUACGAUGAUGAAUGUGACAGGUCUUGGAAGACGUUUAAUUGCCAGGACAAUCUGGAAAGCUGGAGGCAGGAGUCUUUGGGGAAAUCCAAGAGAGGUGCUUGACAGAUGGGAUUUUGCCUCGAGCUCAGAGAAUCAAAAGACUCCUGUCUCAUUUUUUCACAUCUGUUCCUGGCUCCCUAAGUUUUACUCCUUUAUGUAUUCCCCUCACCUGGAUGCCAAGCAUUUUCUCUAAGAAAACAUUGCAUCUUUUCCAGCUGUACUGUAACUGCACACUGUGACUUGAAUUUAACACAAUUUUAUUGCAGAUAAAACUAGAGAAGCUUUUAGAUGUCUCCAUCAGGUAUGCAUUGUCAGGACGAUAUUUUUAAACUUAAAAUAAUGCUUUUCUUUAGAGGAUGAGAUUUUCAAGUACACAUAUCCUCUUUGAUUAAAUACAAGUACACAUAAAUUAGGAUCCCAUUGAGUUAAGUCAUUGAUUCAUUUCGCCUAUAUCAGAGGAUAACAAAAGCUAAUUAUGAUAGACUAGAAAGUGAAUUCUAAGGCUUUGCAAUGCCAAAUGAUGAUCGAUGCUUAAUUUUAUUUGAAUUCUUAUACUAAUGCUGGUGUUAUUCUGACAGGCAUGUCUGGAUUUAUUUUAAGUAAGAGGGUAGUUGCCCUUCUAAGGCAGCUAAGACUGCUACAUCUUACUAAAGGGAUUCACAACCUAAUGCUAAUGUCUUUAAUAUCUUGAACAGAUUGUUAAGAUGAGUUACCUUUGAGAGGGGAAAGUGAAGAGAGGAGUGACUUGGUGAUAAUUUUCCCAAUAGCAGACUGAGAUGAGAAAAGGAGGUGGUUCACAUUGGGACUGUUAUAAGAAAAUUCAGAAUAUGUAUGUGGUCACUAUAAAGUCUGGGCACUGUUCGCAGAGGGUGGGCUUAGGCAAAGGAACUGAAUUAGAGGCAGUGGUACUAAAACAGGCAAGAAGUGAAUAGUAGGGGCACUGGGCGCUUGGUACUUAAAGCAAGGUGAUGAGGCAGAGAUGAGGGGUUGUAUGUAAGAGACCCGAAUUGACUUGCUUAAUCCCCAGGCUUUCCUAGAGGCAGCCAUCAAGUGGGGUGGGGUCACCUAAACAGGUUAGGUAGAGAGAGAACCAAACAAAUCUGAAGAGAGAUGAAAGGUUCAUAAAACCACAAAGUUAAUGUUCAGAGAUUUUUUUUUUUUUUUUUUUUGCGAAAGUGUUAACAAAAGACUUCUAGCUAAACACCAAACAUCCUUACUUCUCUAAAUGUAGCCUGCCAUCCAUGUGGCUUUUUUUUUUUUUUCAAAUUUCUUAUUUCCUUCACUUUGAGAAUUUGAAACACACCUUGAUUUCUUCCCCUAAGUUUUGCCUCUCCACAUCAAGUGGAACUUGGAGCUGCCCUUGUCUUCCUUUAGAAUCUUUCACACAUGCAGAAUUUCCACUGUCUCAAUCGCUGGCAGGAAUUCACAGCAGAAUGUUUUCCUUUCUUGCCUUCCUUCCUUUUCUUCAUUUUGUUUUCACUCUCUCCUUCCUCCCUCCCUCCUUUUCUUCUUUUCAUUUAAUGCAUAAACUUAUUAUUGAAAAGUUAUAAAGGAAUAUUCAUUGAAUCAGAGUUAUUUAUAUAAGGCAUACAUCACCUUUAUUGAAGAGUAGAAGUAUGUUAAAUCAGGACUUCUGGGAUCUCUGGGAUGUUAAUCAUUUUAAAACCACACCCUCUCUUUCAUGAGGACUCCACACACUACUGAGAACUUCCCACCUGGUCUUCCUACUUUCAUUCUUUUCAGUUAGCUGUGUGUUUACUGCUUCUUCAACCAACCAUGUGCUGCUGCCUAAUGAAACCCCAUAAAGUAGUUUUUUUUCUUUUUGGCCACCCCCACUGUGUGUGGAAUUUCCUCAGUCAGGGAUCGAACCCUAGUCAAAGCAGUGACCCAAGCCACAGCAGUGACAAUGCUCGAUCCUUAACCCACUGAGCCACCAAAACAAAAAAAGUAUUUUUAUUUUUUUUAAUGUGUUUUAGAAACAGAUCUUCCCCAGUGAAAUCUUACUUGGGACAAAGCAACAUUAGCGAUUUAACUUAGAGCAGCUGUGCCAAAGAAGGAAUGGAAGCUAUCUAUACCUUUUGAAAUUUAAGUUACCCUCCAUCUCUCAGUAGCUUUGGGGCCAUUUCUCCAGAUCUGCAAUUUAACUGCUAUUGCUCAACAGCAAUUCAUUACUUGAGUAGUUCUUAGCGCAAAGCCCAUUAGCAUCUCAUCAGUGCCUUCAGGAUCUUCUUUCUCCUUCAAUAAUAUUGAAUGUUGUCUUGGAAAGACAUUGAUGAACAUAGAAAGAUACAAACGUCCUAAAAGAGGAAAUAGUUCAUUUUUUAACUUGUCUAAUGAAAACUGAACUUUUUCCUUAUUGUUUCUAUAGUAGUGAUGGUUUGUGAACAGUCAACUUGACACAAUCAAUAUAGGAAAAAAAUUCUUUUAUUCUUGUAACCUCACUCUGUGUGACACCUCACAGGUUUCAGUAAUAGCCAUUAAUUUGUUUUAUUCAACAAAUGUUUGUUGAUUAUUUAUUUCUAUAUUUUUCCUCCUAUAUGCCUGGUCCUUUUUUAAUCUUCAGGGAAAAUAUACAGCAGUGAAUGAGACAAAUAUGUCUGCCCUCAUGAAGCUAAAUUAUAAAUAGGGAGUUUCUGUCCCUAGUAUAAAUAAGGAGUUCUCAAUGGUUGUGGGCUUGAUCCCUGGCCUAGCUUAGUGGGUUAAGGAUCUGGCAUUGCUGUGAGCUGUGGUGUAGGUUGCAGAUGCGGCUCAGAUCCCACGUUGCUGUGGCUCUGGUAUAGGCUGACGGCUAUAGCUCUGAUUAGACCUCUAGCCUGGGAACAUCCAUAUGCUGUGGGAGAGGCCCUAGGAAUGGCAAAAAGACAAUAAAUAAAUAAAUAAAUAAGAAAAAAGAAAUAAGCAAGUUAAAUAAGAAAAACAUGGAGUAUUAUUGGUAGUGAUAAAGGGUAAAAAAUUCACAGAAAAGGAAUCUGAACAAUUUAGGGUAGUGGUUUAGAUAGAAUGGACAGCUUAAGAAGGUAAAUCUCCCUGGGACAGUAACUUUUGAGUAAAGACCAAUAAAUAUUUGUUGAAUGAAGUAACU